rnacentral:lncRNA from 1 species
CUGGGGCUGAGGAGAAUUUGUACAGCCUAGGGAGGCGCAGCACAGCAGUAUCAGCCUCUGGCAUUUGUACCACCUUUAGUCCUGCCACUUUCUCUCACUGUGGCUUCGCAACAGACUUGGGAACCAAGAAAGGCAUAGGUGAGGAAGCUGAAGCCCAGUCUGGGCUCGCGGAAGAAACUGGUGGAUCCAACUUCUGCAUAGCGCAAAUAUCUGCUUCCUGCCUCCACCCACCCAUUCCCACUUCCCCUGAUUGGGGAACUCUAGAGCCCCACAUCAGAGUUCAACAUGUGCCUCAGGAGCUUCAGCACCUCUUUUGUGGGAGGAGAGUCCGCUGGUGACUGGGGCUGCAGGCCAUGACAUCAGCCUGCCCAGCUUCACCUCAGGCUGCUUCCAACAGUGCCAAGUGAGGUCCCUUGGCAGGAUCCCUGCAAGGCAGCGGCUGGCCACCAGGAGGCAGCAGCCUACUCUACAAGGCACUUUCUUCAUUCCAACCCCUUGUAACAGGUCUGAGGAAACCUGUUCGCCCAGCCAUGUGCUGCAACCAUCCUCCACUCCCAAUCUUAUCUCCCAAUAGCACAGAUUCCCCUAUCAUGAGUCCAGACUUGGCCUUCAUCUCCUCUUGCCUUCCUCUGUCCAAGGAAUCACUACAGAGAUUCUUUCUCUAUCCUUCUUUGUAAAUUUCCAGAAAAUUGUUUCCCCAGGGCCCCUCCCCUUGAAGAAAUUAAACAGGAAGCUGGAGUAGACUGUCCCUUCUUUCCCCCACCUCUCACACUCCAAAGCUCUGUUUAACUCUGUGGGCCAGUGGCUAGAUUCCCCAACAUGGAUGACAGAGAAUACACAUGCAAUAAGAAUGUUUUCGCUGCCACCAGCCACUCACAGACACACUGUCUCCCACCCUCUGAAGGCAUUGUGCCCAAUCCCCAGCCACUCACUGUCUAGUCAGGGCUGCCCCUGCAGGACUUGCCUUGGCUGAGGACCAGCUAGCUUCAAGCCACUCUGAAGUCAGCUUGCUGUUUCCCCUGGAGCCUGGUAAUACAUCCUUCUUCAGGUGAACAAAAGCAGAAAAAGCCCAGUGAACCCCACUGCAACAAAGAGCCUGCCAUCAGUCUUCCUUCUGUUCCUGCCUAUCUCAUCACCCAAGGGCUAUCCCAGAGCCCACUAUGUUCUAAGAUCUAUUCCUUUCACCACCACCCAGCCAAACAACUAUCCAGACAAUUCCUUGAUCAAACAACACUGCCUUCUUGAGUUUAAAUUUUAUUUUACAAAAAGAGAAAUAAAGAAAACUGAUAGGCAGUUAUACUGACUUACAAUUGUUCUGUUUGCUUUUUUUUAAAAAAGUGACAUGAAACACAAGUAAAAAUAAAUACGUCAUAGAAACAGCCAGUUGCCCAGUCUCUGGGGCAGGAGCGCCUGCCCUGCUGAGAGGAGGGAAGCCCAUGAUCACACCAGCAGCUGGAUCACCCAGCCACAGAUGCUCCUCGAAGCCAGGCACAGGUCCCAGGCCUCAGGGGCGUCCUGAGGAAAGAAGACGGAAAACCAAAGCCAGGUGCCAGGACCCUGGGGCCACCUCAUUAUCCCCCACUCCUCCUGGCAGCAGUCUGGUCUUAGUGGUUAUCCAUAGCGACCCCCCUUAACCCACCUGGACCCUCUUCCCCUGACCUCUCUGAAGAUGGUACAAGGGAAAAACCUGUCUUGGGCAGGCUGGGGGGGAUUCUUCUGGUGAGUCCCCAGCCCACCCUGAGUAACACAACCAGAUAACAGUCAUUUUACACCCAGGUGCACAUGAGCACAGCACACAAACACACACACACACACUCACACACACACACACACACAGCUGGGCUGAGCUCUCUUCCAGGGAGGGUCCUGGGUCCAGUCACAGUAUGAGGUCCUCUCUCUUCUGAAUAUCAUCCCAGUAGUGGCAGCAGAGAGUACCCAAACCUCCCCAAGCCCUCUGCAUUGCAGACACUGCAGCCUGCUUGGCUACCCCUCCCCAACACACUAGAUUACUAUGUCAAAUAGACCUGCAAAAGGGAAAGGUGCACACUCAGGUCCCUGAAGAGCAAAGAAGUUGGACACUGCCUGCUCAAGAAGUUCAUUGUUAUAAGACUCAGGUAUUCAUAAAAGGCCUAGGGCUAAGCUAGUAGCACAGAAAAGCCGUUAAGGGGAUCACAGCAGAAUACACAGGGCAGAAGAGAAGAGUUGGCAGCAGGGGAACGGAGUCUCAAGGUGACCAAUAGAGAGCACAACAUUCUCAAAUAGUCCUUGAGGUGCUGAUUCCUGGGAGUAGUCAGCAGAGGGCCAGAACAUCUCCCAGGGGUCCUUUUGGGGAAGGAUGACUUCACUUAGUUUUAGGGGUGAAGAGCCACUGAGCUGGGUGCACAGAAGGCCAUGGCUCAGAAGGGAAAGACUGAUCUGAGAAAUCAAAAGGAAGUGGGGGCCAGGAGCAGUGGCUCACGCCUGUAAUCCCAUCACUGGGAGGCCGAGGAGGGUGGAUCACUUGAGGUCAGGAGUUCAAGGCCAGCCUGGCCAACGUGGUGAAACCCCGUCUCUACUAAAAAAUAUACAAAUUAGCUGGGCAUGGUGGUGUGCACCUGUAAUCCCAGCUACUUGGGAGGCUGAGGCAGGAGGAUCGCUUGAAACCGGGAGUGGAGGUUGCACGGAGCCAAGAUCACACCAUUGCACUCAAGCCUGGGUGACAGAGCAAGACUCUGUCUCAAAAAAAAAAAAAAGGAAGUGGGAAGCAGAAGGUAAUAUCCAGAACACUAGUAACAAGGAAUGUAAAGCCCCCAGAAGACCUUCCCCAUGGGAUGAGGACUCAAUUUCAGAGCAAUGCCAGGUUUGAAUAGACUCACACAGAGGGCCCUUCUCUGCUGACAACUUUGGGAGUGAUGGUCCUACCCAGGCCACUUAAGUUUGGCUAAGUGUUUCAACCAAUCUGCAAAACUGUACCCCAGCACUUUGCUUCCUGCUCCUGAAUUGAGAAAUUUCAUAUUUAGUUGUGAAUCACAAGCAUAUAGAGACUCCACACACUAAUUCCUAGGGAAGAGAGCUCCAAGGAUCACAAGCAUAUAGAGACUCCACACACUAAUUCCUAGGGAAGAGAGCUCCAAGGACCAGACAGAAUUAUCCUUAAAUCAGGAGAUGAUGAGAUAGAUGCCUAAAAAGCAUAACUCAAAGGGGUGUGGACUUCAUAGAUAUCCAAUCUAAAGAAAAUGAUAUGACCCAACAUGGUUCACUUCCUUUCUUAAAUAGCUACUUUGUCCCUGUUCAAUUUUUAUCUACAAAUAUAUUAAGAAAAGGAAAUCAAGCAUCACUAUAAAUGGUAAACCUCAAUCAUUAAGUAGUACUGUGUUCCCCAGGCUGAGAACUUGGCUAAACCAGAUGAAUGGGGCUUGAGAGGCCCUUGAAAACAUUCCAUGGAAGACAAUGGUAAGGGAAAACGCCUAGGCCUGAUUUUCUGCCCUCCCUCUUAUCACCAGCCACCCUGCCCCCCUCAGGCCUGGAUAAUGGGUGGAAGACACCACCAAGUGUUUAUGAUCAAAGAAACUAUAAAACAUGGUUCUUAGGCUCUGAGAUACUUCCUGCUUCCCUCACAAACAUGCUUAUGUUUGGUGUGCAUGCACAUUUGCCUAUCAGCACAUAUAAAGAGACAGUGGAAAAGUCAG